AAGGGAAUCAGACCUUUUCCCCUCUUUCUGUUUGCUAAUAGCCCUCGAGCAGGGUGCGAUUUUCUCUGAUUUAUUUUCUAUUUCAACUUAUUCACCAACUAGUUCUCAGCCCAUAGUCUGGAAGUUCAGGCAGCCGUGGGCUGGCAGUGCUGUCACUCGGUUGUGCACAGGAAGCAAAGCAGCGCCAGUGUAUUCUGUGGAGCAUUCAUCGGCUCUGCUGAGUUAUUCACCCCGUGCUAAGCAGUGAAUCCUUUCUCUCCGAGAUCUGAGUUGGAAACAGGCUUGUUUCACUGGGCGGAAAUGCCUCUCUGCAGCCUGGGCACCCAACGCGCCAUCGAACCCGCCCCCCCUCUCCGUUCAGAGAGCGGAUCUGAAAACAGUGGGGUUAUGAGAACCUCAUGGCUGGGGCACAAACACAACAGGGUUAUGGGAAUCUGUUAGUUGAGACAUAAGCAAACAAAUGCGGGAAGCCAGACAAUUUGUCCCUGAUCUCGUCACACGGUCCCUCUGCCAGUGACUGGGGCUCUGGGAAAGCAGCAAGUUGCUCUGCCUCUGGGUCACAGCCCCAUCCCCGGGUGUGAGGGUCUGUCAGGUUGUGUCAGUAACAUGCUGACACUAUCUUGGUGGAGCUGCUGGCCACCGCUCUCCUUGGUUUGAAGGGGCAGACAGCUGAGUGCUGCUGCACUGAUGUGGAGACACAGGGCUGAGCUCCAUUUGUGGCUGGCUCCUGAGCAUGAUACGGGAGCUGCCGUGGCUGGUUCCUGGCUGAGGCCCCUCACGCUCAGCUCUGGGCCCCACAGUACCAGGAACAGGUUAACCAAGAGGAGCCACCAAACUCUCAGGGGCCCGGAGGGGCUGUGUUAUUUGGAAGGGCUGAAUUGGCCUAGGUUGGCCUGGGGAGGCCUGAUAAGGGCCUAGCACUGAUGAGCGACUCGGGGAGGCCCCAGGUUAGUAACUAAGAGCAAAUAUUAGGACAGAAAAGGGUUAGGCUGAUUGUCAGGACCAGCCUGGCUGCCGGUGGGGUGGAGGAUGUGGAGCUCCCUGUCCAGGGGAGGCUGGGAGCUCUAGCAAUCGAGGCAUUUCACACUGGACUCCACCACACCUGAGCUAGUGUACAAGUGGGGCUGAUCCUGCCCUGGCCCACGGGGGAGCAGCAGCUGGGCUGUCUGAUGGGGUUGCAGCAGGGCCAUGGCUUCACUCUCCCUCUGUCCGAUUUCACUCCAUGUCCUUUCCCCUUCCAGGAGGGACGUCCUGGAUCCUGUCGCAGGGAAGCAGAACCGGCUCCAACUUCACAGGCAUUUUAGGGUCUGAUCCAGAGUCCAUUGGAAUCAAUGGAAAGACUCCCAAUGACUUUCGUGGGCUUUGGAUCAAGCCUCUAAUGACCCUGGUUUGGGCCAGGAGGAGCUUCAUUAACUAAGCCCAACAGCAAGCAGGUGCCGGCUUGUCCAUAGGCCACCUGGGGAAGUAUUUGUAAGCACAAAAUGCUGGUACUAAAAGGGAGCUUUAAAUGACAUCCCCAGCAUGGUCCAUGCACCAGCAGCCUUGCCAGGGACUCUCUAGCUCAGGGUUUUAUACUGCUGCCCAUCACCAUAGUACCUGGGCUCUCACAGUGGGGAAUUAGCAAAUAUUAAGCAUUUCCACUCAUAAACAGGGUCAUUAAUUAUUACAGCUCUGCUUCUUGCUGAGGACAGAAUACUGAGCUUGUGCCAUCACAAUCAUUCCUAUGGCAACAAGCCGAUGUCAUCAAGACAGGAUUGAGCUUAUAGCAGGUUCAGGCAGAGGAGAAGUCCGGGACAAAGGAAGCCCUUCUUUAAAGGCAAGAUCUGCCCAGGCAAUAUGGGAUGAGAGCGGCAGCGAAUGUUCCUGGUUGUAUAACAAGUUCUUGGUCUGUAUUUGCUCCAGCAGAAAAGGACACCUCCCCAUCUUCAACACCGCCUCAGAGACUGCCAAGCAACAGGGAUUUCCCUUUAAAACUCUCUCUGGCUGAAGGGAAAGGCAACAAGGGAUGCUGUACAGUGGCAGCCUGACUUCAUACUUUAUACUGCAAA